CUUUUCUUAGGGAUUUUGAAUUAGCUCGUCGCAAUUAGCUGGUGUUUCGUUCCAGUCAUAGCCGGAUAAUUUUAGGUUCUCUCGUACGAAAUUUCAAUAAGUCAUCGCUGUUACCAUUUCGGAAUGCUCCAAGAAGCUU